UACGUAGGGUGCAAGCGUUGUCCGGAAUUAUUGGGCGUAAAGAGCUCGUAGGCGGUUUGUCGCGUCUGCUGUGAAAACGCGAGGCUCAACCUCGCGCCUGCAGUGGGUACGGGCAGACUAGAGUGCGGUAGGGGAGAUUGGAAUUCCUGGUGUAGCGGUGGAAUGCGCAGAGUAUCAGGAGGAACACCGAUGGCGAAGGCAGAUCUCUGGGCCGUUACUGACGCUGAGGAGCGAAAGCGUGGGGAGCGAACAG
rnacentral:rRNA from 1 species